AGCUUUGCGCAGUGGCAGUAUCGUAGCCAAUGAGGUUUAUCCGAGGCGCGAUUAUUGCUAAUUGGUUUCAGUUUGCUGGCUUUCUAAGGGGAAGUACUCAGUUUUAUAUUGCUUUGGAUCUCUUGGAGUUAAGUCCCAUUG